UAGUCUCUUUUAAGAGUGUUAAAUCCGCUCCAAACCAGAAGAGACUAGUUCUUUUGUUAAAAAAGUGAAAAAAAAAAUACUCUUGUAAAACUUCAGGCUGUCAUUUUCUUGGGACUUGAUACGGCGAUUUAAUACGAAAAUCAACUCUUAUUAUCUUUGAUUCAUGGAUUAAUUUGCUCAUUUUGUAACGAAAAUAUGCUGAAAGUCGUUUAAGAGAUUAAACUGGACUGUCUAUCUUUUUCCUCUUUGAUAUGACCAUAUGGGCACUGAACUUUUGUCCAUCGUCUCAGAAGAUGCCGGAAGUUGCUCAUUUAUCGGCACCCAUCGUAACAUUAUCAUAAUGGCACCUGUGAACCAAAGUCACGGAGGCGAGCAACAUUACCCACGCCAUACCGCCACAGAAGUCAGUUGAUAGGAUGGUCUGCAUUCACACAACAGAGGACAACACAUAGAGAAACAUCCAUGCCCUGGGAGGGAUUCGGACCCACUGUCAGGCACGCUAACCACUCGGCAGCAACAUUAGAACGUACGGAAAGUGAGAAAAGUGACUGCACCUGUCUUGGUUGUCCAUGGUACAGAAGAUGAUUUAGUCGACUUCACUCACGGGGAAACCAUAUAUAAAAAUUGUCCAAGAGCUGUUGAGCCACUGUGGUUAGAAGGAGUAGGCCAUCAUGACAUUGAGCUAGAUGAAGAAUAUGUUGACAGGCUUCUUAAAUUUAUGCAUGAAGAUAUCGCCUCCUAGUGCAUGCGACUUUAUUAAUUGCAUAUCUUUCCAAAAUUUACAUAUCACUCUAAAAAUAAAUAUAUUAAAAAAAAUAUUAA
rnacentral:misc_RNA from 1 species